rnacentral:rRNA from 1 species
CGUUCUUCGAGGAAUAUUUAUAGCGUUAGCUUAUUGUAUUUUAUUAAUAUGGAGAAUCGGACCUGCCCAGUGACUAAUGUGUUUAACGGCCGCGGUACUCUGACCGUGCAAAGGUAGCAUAAUCAUUUGCCUUUUAAUUGGAGGCUUGUAUGAAUGGUUUGACGAAAACUAAGCUGUCUCUUUUUAAAUUUAAAGAAAUUAAUUUGUAGGUGAAGAAGCUUACAUCUAACUGAGGGACAAGAAGACCCCGUUGAGCUUUAGUAAUCUGAUGGAACUAGUACUAGGCGAUACUAGCACAGUAUCUCACUACGGUCACAUUAAUGUGUGCAGAUAUCUUCUAUUAGAAAUCUUUAGUUGGGGCGACUGAGGGAUAAAUGAAGCUUCCUUUAAUAGUUAUAAAAUGGAAUUCAUUCCAGUUUAAAUAGAUCCAAUAGUUAUUGAUCAAAGGAAAAAGUUACCACGGGGAUAACAGCGUAAUCUUUCUGGCGAGUUCCUAUCGAAAGGAAGGUUUGCGACCUCGAUGUUGGACUAAGAUAUCCUAAGGGUGUAGAAGCUCAUAAUGGUUAGUCUGUUCGACUAUUAAAAUCUU